rnacentral:rRNA from 1 species
GACGAACGCUGGCGGCGUGCUUAACACAUGCAAGUCGAACGGAAAGGCCCUGCUUUUGUGGGGUGCUCGAGUGGCGAACGGGUGAGUAACACGUGAGUAACCUGCCCUUGACUUUGGGAUAACUUCAGGAAACUGGGGCUAAUACCGGAUAGGAGCUCCUGCUGCAUGGUGGGGGUUGGAAAGUUUCGGCGGGUGGGGAUGGACUCGCGGCUUAUCAGCUUGUUGGUGGGGUAGUGGCUUACCAAGGCUGUGACGGGUAGCCGGCCCGAGAGGGUGACCGGCCACAUUGCGACUGAGAUACGGCCCAGACUGCUACGGGAGGCAGCAGUGGGGAACAUUGCACAAUGGGCGGAAGCCUGAUGCAGCAACGCCGCGUGCGGGAUGACGGCCUUCGGGGUGUAAACCGCUUUCGCCUGUGACGAAGCGUGAGUGACGGUAAUGGGUAAAGAAGCACCGGCUAACUACGUG